UGAAGGAGAUAGGAAGGACUGAAUAUGAAAAGGGGAUAACAAGCUUAAGCUUUUGAGGGGCUUGUUCCAUGAGUCAACAGAGAACUCUGCCAGAGAGAAAGCCCGAGCUUGCACACUGACCCAGCAGAAGUACAAGGGAACCUGGAGUAUUAUGUUCUAUGCCACCACCUCCCAUACCAGUAAAUUUAGCUUACCAUGGACUAAAAACCUCACAAACCAUGAGCCAAAAUAAACCCAAUGACC